CCUAGUUAAUUCUGCUAGUAGUUAUAUGCUUGUCUUAAAGAUUAAGCUAUAUAUAUCUAAGUAUAAGCAAUUAUACCAUAAAACUGCAAAUAGCUUAUUAAAUUAGUUAUCGUUUAUUUAAUAGUACCUUACUACUUAGAUAACUAUAGUAAUUCUAGAGCUAAUACAUGCUAAAAACCCUAACUUUAGAAGGGGUGUAUUUAUUAGAUAAAAAACCAACGCCCUUUAGGGCUUCUUAGUGAUUUAUAAUAACUUUACGGAUUAUAUAGCCUUACGCUAGCGACAGUUUAUUUAAAUUUCUGCCCUAUUAACUUUUAAUAGUAAGGUAUUAGCUUACCAUGGUUUUAACAGGUAACGGGGAAUUAGGGUUUAAUUCUAGAGAGGGAGCCUAAGAAAUGGCUACCACAUCUAAGGAAGGCAGCAGGCGCGCAAAUUACCUAAUCCUAAUAUAGGGAGGUAGUAACAAUAAAUACUAAUAUAGGGCUCUUUUAGGUCUUAUAAUUAGAAUAAGUAUAAUUUAAACCUCUUAACAAGGAACAAUUAGAGGGCAAGUCUAGUGCUAGCAGCUGCAGUAAUUCUAGCUCUAAUAGCGUAUAUUAAAGUUGUUACAGUUAAAAAGCUUAUAGUUAAAACUUAGGUCUAGCUAGCAGGUCCGCCUCACCGCGUGUACUUGUCCGGCCAGGCCUUCCUUCUAGAGAACCUUAUACCCUUUACUAGGCGUGUUAGGGACUAGGACUUUUACUUUGAAAAAAUUAGAGUGUUUAAAGCAGGCCUUUGCUUAAAUACGUUAGCAUAGAAUAAUAGAAUAGGACGUGCAGUCCUAUUUUAUUAGUUUCUAGGACUGCUGUAAUAAUUAAUAGGGACAGUUAGGGGCAUUAGUAUUUAAUUAUUAGAGGUAAAAUUCUUAGAUUUAUUAAAGACUAACUACUACAAAAGCAUUUGCUAAGGAUGUUUUUAUUAAUUAGUAAACAAAAGUUAGGGGAUUAAAGACAAUUAGAUACCGUCGUAGUCUUAACCGUAAACUAUGCUAACUAGGGAUUAGGCGAUGUGUAGAAAAUUGGAUCACUAAGGUUAGGAAUGAUUUAGGAGAUGGAUUAUUAGAUUGUAUCUACUACGAUCGGACUUAUAUAUAUAGAGCUUUAGCUACCCUUACUAGAAGGUGAAUAAUUAGUAAACCUUCCUUACUAGAGCUCCUGCUUUUUAUUAGGCGCUUAGCAGUAAGCUGGCAGUUAAUUAGAUAGUAGGUCAUAUAGGGGUAUUAAUUAGGAUUGAUUGGAUUAAGAUGCUCCGUGAUCCAGUUGAUAUCCCUCCUGCAACACACCCCCUAGGUAUAGGUGGAUCUUUUGUUGUUGUGGUUGCGCUUGUGGUUAGUAGGUAGUGUAGCUAAUUAGAGCGUCGUAUAUCCAAAGGGUUAAAUUAGCUCACCCUUUAGAUACUAACUAGCGCGCCUUCCUUAUUUAGCCUGCGCUCUCGCGCGUAGAUAUUACCUAGACUUAGCUCCGUGACUCUAUCUACCUAACUAUAAUCUUUACUAUAGCCUAUAUUAUAAGAUCGUGCAACCCUAAAGAUCUAAACUAUACCUGUAUCCCUACUAACCUGUGUCUUAGUUAAAGUUAAAAACUACUGCUUGCGCUCGCUCUGCCUGCGCUACCCUUAUUGCCUCCCGCGCAGCUAAAGCUAUAGUUGCUAAAGCCGCCGCCGCUAAAGAAGAGCGCGCUACUACUAAGCGUGAGGCUAUUGUAGAGUGUGCGGCAGCUAAGCGCGUAGCUGCUGCUACCGCGGUUAAGAUUGCGAAGCUAAGGAAG
rnacentral:rRNA from 1 species